AACGAACGCUGGCGGCAGGCCUAACACAUGCAAGUCGAACGCCCCGCAAGGGGAGUGGCAGACGGGUGAGUAACACGUGGGAACCUUCCCUAUAGUACGGAAUAGCCCAGGGAAACUUGGAGUAAUACCGUAAACGCCCGAAAGGGGAAAGAAUUUCGCUAUAGGUUGGGCCCGCGUAGGAUUAGCUAGUUGGUGAGGUAAUGGCUCACCAAGGCGACGAUCCUUAGCUGGUUUGAGAGAACGACCAGCCACACUGGGACUGAGACACGGCCCAGACUCCUACGGGAGGCAGCAGUGGGGAAUAUUGGACAAUGGGCGCAAGCCUGAUCCAGCCAUGCCGCGUGAGUGAUGAAGGCCUUAGGGUUGUAAAGCUCUUUUGGCGGGGACGAUAAUGACGGUACCCGCAGAAUAAGUCCCGGCUAACUUCGUG
rnacentral:rRNA from 1 species